GACGAACCGUGCGAACGUUAUUCGGAAUCACUGGGCUUAAAGCGCGUGUAGGCGGAUGAGCACGUCUGUCGCUGAAAUCCCCCGGCUCAACCGGGGAACGGGCGCGGAUACGGCUCGUCUCGAGGGGCGUAGGGGGACCUGGAACUUCCGGUGGAGCGGUGAAAUGCGUUGAGAUCGGAAGGAACGCCCGUGGCGAAAGCGAGGUCCUGGACCGACAUUGACGCUGAGGCGCGAAAGCCAGGGGAGCAAACGGGG
rnacentral:rRNA from 1 species